UACGUAGGGACCAAGCGUUGUUCGGAUUUACUGGGCGUAAAGGGCGCGUAGGCGGCGUGGUAAGUCACUUGUGAAAUCUCUGAGCUUAACUCGGAAAGGUCAACUGAUACUGUGCGACUAGAGUGCAGAAGGGGCAACUGGAAUUCUCGGUGUAGCGGUGAAAUGCGUAGAUAUCGAGAGGAACACCUGCGGCGAAGGCGGGUUGCUGGGCUGACACUGACGCUGAUGCGCGAAAGCCAGGGGAGCGAACGGG
rnacentral:rRNA from 1 species